rnacentral:rRNA from 1 species
GACGAACGCUGGCGGCGUGCUUAACACAUGCAAGUCGAGCGAUGAAGUUUCCUUCGGGAAAUGGAUUAGCGGCGGACGGGUGAGUAACACGUGGGUAACCUGCCUCAUAGAGGGGAAUAGCCUUUCGAAAGGAAGAUUAAUACCGCAUACGAUUGUAAUGUCGCAUGACAUAGCAAUUAAAGGAGCAAUCCGCUAUGAGAUGGACCCGCGUCGCAUUAGCUAGUUGGUGAGGUAACGGCUCACCAAGGCGACGAUGCGUAGCCGACCUGAGAGGGUGAUCGGCCACAUUGGGACUGAGACACGGCCCAGACUCCUACGGGAGGCAGCAGUGGGGAAUAUUGCACAAUGGGGGAAACCCUGAUGCAGCAACGCCGCGUGAGUGAUGACGGUCUUCGGAUUGUAAAGCUCUGUCUUUAGGGACGAUAAUGACGGUA